rnacentral:lncRNA from 1 species
GCUAUUUUCGCUAUUUCAUGCAUAUUCAGGAAAGACUGAAGACAGACAGACAGACAGAGGCGUUCAUUCAGAAAGAAGUAGGAGGGCUUCAGGGAUUCAGCGGAGGAGACUGAAAGCCUGAGAGACGAUGCCUCUGAGAAGGUUACAGGCAAGCAGCAGGCUCUCCCACUUAGACAAGUGGAGGGGGAUAUAAGCAAACAAAGUUGGGGUGAUGGGGGGAAGGAGGCUUCUGGUCCUCUCAGUGUUUGUGUGGAAAGGUCACUCUCACUGCAGCCCAAUGACGUGCUGUGCAGGCCAAUGGGAGUCCAGGCUGUCUUUCCUGUGAAGACCCAGCACUUUGCUCAUUCAUGGAACCUGCCAGUCUCUUUGGCAAUGUGUUUUAUUGAAACCCUAUGCUUUUCUUUGAAUUUGGUAGUAGCUAUGGCCCCCUUGACUCUUGUUACUGUCUGUGGUCCUAACACGCGGAUACAAUACAUCUCUCAGCUCUGUGCUGAUCAGGCGUUUGCCAGUUCUGUCUUGGCAGGAGAGUCUAGGUUCCUGGGAUGACCGGUCGGAGCCUCUCUGAUUACAGCGAUGAUAGUUGCUCUGGGUGGGCAGGGAGUGUACAGCAGGAUGCCGUAGCCCGUGCUUAGCCGCAGCCCCAUCGGAGAGUCCUCUCAGUCUGCUAUGGUAGAGAUCAGAUUUUCUUUUCCAGACCUUGGGAGAAAGCGCUUUCACCUCCUCACCACAGACACUCUCGACUGUGGACUCAGGACACUAAGCCAGAAAGGUGACGAUUUCCUUCUUGAACCCGGCCUGCAUCAGCAGCUCAGACCCAGGGCUCCGGGUCCUUUGCUCUAUGUCCAGUGCUCUUUUUGCUCCCUCACACACUUAGCGAUGGCAGUGUUCUUAGUAUACUCAAAGAGCUUUGUAAUGAAUUAGAGCAGCCAUUCCCAACCUUCCUAGUGCUGCGGUCCUUUAAUACAGUUUCUUAAGUUGUGGCGAACCAUCCCCCCCACCCCCAACCAUAACAUUAUUCUUGCUGCUGCUGUUAUGAAUCGUAAUGAAACAUUUGAUCUGCAGUACAUCUGAUAUGUGAUUCCCGAGAAAGGGCCAUCAUAUUCCAAGGGAUCGGGACCCACAGCGUGAGAAGCCCUGAACUAGAGAUCCGCCUAAACUGAGAAACAACCUAGCACCUAUCCCAGCCCAUCAAUGUUGUAUAUGGCAACAGAUUCAAAAGCCCAGACUAAAACAUACUCACCAUCCAUGUUACCAGCUCUCACCAUGGGGCAGCAAUGUGGAUUUAGUAAGCAUAGCCCACGGGCACUCAUUUUGAAGACACUAGGAGAACUUCAAAGCCAGGUUUGUUCUUCUGCCUCUGGUGACAUUUUUAAAAUUUCAGCACUGUUUUUUUUUUUAAUUGAUUCUUUGUGAAUUUCAUAUCAUGCACCUCAGUCCUGCACAUCUCCUGUCCCCUCCCUCCCUCCAACCUCCACCCUUCCCCAACAAAGAAAAAUAAGUCCCCACUAUGGAAGCUGUAGUGUGCCAUCGUGUGUCCUUUUGUCCACACUUCUUUGCUUGCAAGUGCUCAUUGCAUUGACUUUGUUGGUCUGGUACGAGUCAGGCCUCUGGCUUCUGCUAUGCUAACGAUGCUAGAACCUUACUGAGACUCCUCUAGGGUAGACUGUUGUCACCCCGUGUGUCAUGGAGACCCUGUAGUUUUGGAUCUGCAGGACUGGCUUCUUCACGUACUCCAGCAGUUCAUUGAUGGGAUAGACGUGGGGUGGGCUAACUCAAAGCCCUGGAUCUGGGCCUGAGAGGUGUCUGAGCUGCUCAGCCCACCAGCUCUCCAGUUCUUGUGGCCUUUGGAUUGGCUCGCCAGCAACCCCCUCUCCCAGGGCUAGCUCUCCUGGCUGACCAGGUGAGGUACAAGGCUGGCUUUCCCCUACUGAUGACAGGGGGCGGGGCGGGGGCGGAACAUCUCUCCCUUGCCCAUGUCACUGCACAGCAGAUGAGUGUCAGGGCCAGCUCUCUCAUGCUCUGACCCUCAGGGCCAGCUUGCCUGAGCCCCGGCCACCAGGCUCAACGCUACUGUUUCUCAUUAGUGCAUAGUAGGUGGUAGUUUUGAGUGUGAUCCUCCAGGUGCCUCUGGGUCUCCUCCCAGAAGCACAGUAACAUGGCCAUUCUGAAGAUCUGAAGUAUGAGUGGCUAUGCAAUUUGCUUAAGACACCUGGAGGGGUAUAGCUCUGUCAGUAGAGUGCUUAGCUAACAUAUCUGAAGCCCUGGGUUUGACCUUCAAUACCACACAAACCAGCACGGUGGGACAUGCUGUAAUCCCAGCACAUGGGAGGUGAAUUCAAAGCUCAAGACCAUCCCUCUACUACAUAGCAAGCUCUGGGCUAGCCUUGGGUAAAUGAGAUUCCCAUCUCAAAAAGAAAAGAACGUGUGUAAGGGCAGUCAGGGAAGUGGGAGAAGACUCAGUAGAUAAAAGGGGAGUAUCUGAGUCGUUCUCCAGUACUCACGUAAAAGAGACAGAUAAAUAUAAAACAAACAAACAAACAAACAAACAAACCUUAGUUCGAUGACCUUCUAUGCCUUUCAAGGUCGGUCCUUAUAUUUGCUUUAGGAACCUGACAAGACUGACUAGCCAUCUCUAGCAUUCAGAUAGGUGGAACUUCAUUGUGCUGAAGUUAUGUUUGAGCACCCUCUGCUGGACAAAUCAGGUAAGUACAGGAUUUUUUUUUUUUUUUUUGGUCUUGUGCCUUUUAAAUUCAUGCUCCGAAGAAGAGAAGAUUUUUAUCUCGAAUCUACACUAAAAGAAGUCUCCUCUUUAAACAGAUGCUCUAUGACUACCAACAAUGUACCAGUGGUAUUCGUCUCUUGCAGAUCUGGAAGAAAAUGAAAUUUAGGUACAUACAGUCACGAACAGAUACCUAGAUGACACAUUUAAAACCCUCAAACACAGUGGAGAUGAGACCAGCAUAAUAUUAAGCUCUUCUCCCUCACAAACACCUGUGCUACCCACACUCACAGGCAAAAAAAAUAUACACAACUGCCAGACUGCAAUGCCUCCCAAUUUAUUGGCCAAAUCUAGAUUCUGCUAGCCCUGUAUAUUCACUCAGAAAGCCAGGCUUCAGACACACCAUGAGUGAUGAGAAAUCCAUUUCAUCAGCAGAGGCAUCUUGCCUAUCUUCAGGAAGCCUACAGACUUCCAGGGAAGCAGGGGGGAAAUCAAGACGUGUCUGACUAUGAGCUGGGGUAAGGGAAGCCUCCGUGUGAAGAUGUGACCUAGUUAGGACAGCUGCCGGAAAGCAGGACUGGCAAGCUUGGUGGUUUGUACACCGGGCCUUGGGAGACUUGGGACACAAACACGAGGUCUUCUGAGGAUGUUUGUGAGUUGCUGGGUUACACAAAAAGAUUCUAGCUCAACAAGCAAAGAAGCGAAGGGGAGGGAAGGGGAGGAAAGGGAGGAGAAGAAAGGAAGUGGGAAGAGAAAAUGGGGCCAAGAAAAGCCCCAAACAUCCCAUAAGCACCCAGAACAGUGUCCCCACCGCGAACCAACCGGGAACCAAAGUGUUCACACCAGAUGAGCUCGUGGAAGGGCUUUUUGCCAAUUGUUCAUGGGUCCCCAGUGAUGAUGGAAUAUUGCGACUUACGUUUCAACCGUUUAAAAAUUUACUGUUAUUAUUUAUGCAUUUCAGUGUUUUGUCUGUUACACGCUCUGUAACUCCAGUUGCAGAAAAUGUAAAACUUUUCUGCCCCCUCCCCCUCCGGCAACCGGGCACAGACAUUUACGGGAGGCUGUGGCUACUUUAGGAGGUAGAGCCUAAAUGGAGAAACUGGGUUGUUGGGACAAUAGACAUUGAGGUUUACAGCCCAACCCCACUGCCUGCCCCUCUCUCCCUUUUCCACCAAGAUGUGAGCGAGCAGUCUCCUUCCUGCUGCUGCAGCUGCAAGCUGCUCCUGCCGCCCAUGCCUUCUCUACUGCCAUGCCUUCCCUACCACAAGGGCCAGAACUCUCACACUGAAAGCCAGAAUAAAUCCUUCCUCUCUUCGGUUGGUUGUUGUCAGGUAAUUGGUCCCAACCAUGGUAAAGCUUAGUGGAAAAGAAAAAAAAGGUAAAAAUCUAUUGUAGACUGAGUGCCCUGAAUCAGAAAACACACAGUCCAGCUGCUCUGAAAUCUAAGCAUCAUCGUGACACUACAAAGAGAAAACUCCAUAUCUGACCACACAUGAGAAUCUACUGAUGAAUACAACCAUGGGUUUACUAAAAAAAGGUGUAUAAAAUGAUCUUCAAGCUGCUCGUAUAAGAUAGGUAUGAAGUGUAAAUUGAAUUUUGGGUCUGACCCCCUAACAUAUUUUCCUGCGUGAAUACAAAUUCCCUCAAGUCCAAAUAACCCCACACUUGGGCGUUUCAGAUAGGGGAUACCCAAUCUGUAAGCCGUUUACUGCCAUAGAGAAGCUAUGAUGCAAGCAGAGCCUACUAACAACUUGGCCAAAACACUUCUAAUAACAGAACUUCACAUGGGUUUCCAUGAGGUCAGAAUGGAAGUAGGAGGAUACAUUGUUUGACGUCAUGGUAUCUGUCCAAUUAAGGUCUGUGUGAGCCUUCCAUCACCAUAACAAAACACAGAACAGAAUCAGCUUUUUAAGGGGGCUUAUUUUGGAUUAUGGUUGCAUAGGAAGAUAUAUAGAUAGGAUCUCCAUGCCAAUAUUUUUAAUGGGUGCUGUCUCUAUUGCUCUGGGCAGGAGAAGGCAGCAGCUGGCAUCAAUGGUGUGGUGAGGAGAGAAUCAAGUUUCCUUCUCCAGUUCAAACAGACGAAAGUGAAGCGACAUAGGCUCAAGGACAGGGUCACUGGGCUAGCGCCACACCAUGGAGCCAAACCCCGAGCCUUCUAAAUUGUGAGCUGGGCAUGGUGGUUCACCCCAGGAAUCGCAGCACUGAGGGAUGAAGGCGAGAGAGUCACUGUGGGUGUGACAUCAGUCUGGCCUGAAGUCUGAGACUGUUUUUUUAAAAAGAAAACAUUUUUUUAUGUCAUAUAUUUAAUUAUAUAAAGAUUCUGUUGUUUUGUUGUUGUUGUUGUUAAAAUUCAGCCAGGAAAUUUCCAUCUGUCUGGUGUUAAUUGGUUGUUUUUCAGCACUAAUUGGGAAAUGAUAUAUUUUUAUUGUUUUAUAAAUAGAGUAAAACCCCUCAGAAACUGCUGGGGAAAUUUAAACAAGGAAAGCAAUUCUAUGUCCUUGCUUGACACCAGUUUGUCCCAGAGGUGACACAACUGUGUAGUUUUUGAAAACACUGGGCAUUUAUAUAUAUAUGAGACAAAACCCCACUGUAUAGCCCUGGCUAACUCGAAACUCACUAUGUAAAUCAGGCUGGGCUUUGACACACAGAGCUCUGCCUUUGCCUACUCAGUGUUGGGAUUUAACACCCACACCACCAUAGCCAGCCUUCUCUCCAAGGGGCAAAUUUCUUUCUGAAGCAACUUCCUCAUUUAUUAACAGUAUUGCUUCCAGACCCCGUGUGUGUGUGUGUGUGUGUGUGUGUGUGUGUGUGUGUGUGUACAGAUAUGUGUUUGCAAGUAUUUAGACACAAGUUGAUGCAGACUACACCAGUUUCAUGAAAUUGUUCCCAUGUCAGUGGCUAGUCUGAGCCUUUUGUACUUGUAAACAGCUGGCUGUAAACUGGGGAUUCCCAUACUCUCCUCUUCAGCCCCAUAAUUAUCAUGGUGAUUUGCAACCUGUAGGUAAUGACCCGUUUGGCUCAUAUAUCAGAUAUUCUGCAUGUCAGAUAUUUAUAUUUUGAUUCAUAACAAUAGUAAAAUUAUAGUUAUGAAGUAGUAAUGUAAAUAGUUACACUGUGGGGGUCACCACAACACGAGGAACUGUGUUAAAUGGCUUCAGCAAUAGGAAGGUUGAGAGCCACUGAUUUAUUAGGUCAUUUCAUGGAUCGUGGGGAUGCUUUCUACUUUCAUCUAUUGUUUAUUACAAAAGAUGUAGACAGACAGAUAGAUAGACAGACUCACAGAUAAAUAGAAAAAUAGAUGACAGAAAGAUAGAAAGUUAGGUAAAAAGAUAAAAAGAUAGGUAGAUGCUAGAAAGAUAGAUAGACUCAAAGACAAAUAGAAAGAUAGAUAAUAGAGAAAGGUGGAAAGAAAAAUAGAUAGAUGAUGGAAAGAUAGGUAGAUAGACUGACAGAAUGAUAGAAAGAAAGACAGAUCAAUAGACAGAUAGAUGAUGGAAAGAUAAAUAGAAAGAGAAAGCUCGAUAGAAAGUAUAAAGAUCAAUAGAUGAUGGAAAGAAAAAAGAAAGAAAGGAAGGAAGGAAGGAAGGAAGGAAGGAAGGAAGGAAGGAAGGAAGGAGGGAGGGAGGGAAGAAAGAAAGAGAAAGCAAGCAAGCUAGAUAUCACAAAACACCUGACAGGACCAAUGUAAGGGAGGAGGGUUUAUUUCAGCUCCCUGUUUCAGAGGUUUCAGAGCUGUUCAGCUCACAGCAGCCUGGAAGCAGAGCAAAGACAGGAAGAGGCAGAGCAAGGGUUCUUCUAAGACACUCUCCAAGGGACCUACAUCCUCCAAUCAGAACCCACCUGACAGUUUCCCACAUGUUCAUAGUUUGAAUCUGUGACAGCAUCAAGCAUUUGUAAGGCCAGAGGCCUCAUGGUCUUUCUGGACAAGGUUACAAAGGGGCACCUAAAUGAAGGGUCACAUAGAACACAGUCCACAGAAACACCAAGCAGACACGCUCCUGACACAGGGUUGGGUGUGCCACACUCUUGCUAUACAGAUGUCUUCAGCAACCAGUAUCUUAGGGAUGUUUACAGAGGUUUUAUAAUAUAGGUGUGAUGGAUAAUUAUAUAGACAGUAUAAUUAAAAUAAAGUUUAUUUGUAAUUUUUUUUUAAAAAUCAAAAAAGUUCUUAGUACCUUAAAUUUGAUCUGGAACUAGGAAUAUUGCAGACAUUACUCGUUCAGUUGAGGCAAGGACUUAGGAAGGUUGCUUGCUGAAUCUUGUAUGUCUGGUGUUAUAUGGAGAGGAGAAAUAUAUUGUCUUAGUUAGGGCUUCCCUCGAUGUGAAGAGACACCAUGGCCAAGGCAACUCUUACAAAAGAGAACAUUUAAUUGAGGCUGGCUGGUUUACAGGUUCAGAGGGUCAGUCCAUCAUCAGCAUGUCUGAAAGUGUGGCAGCACCCAGGCAGGCAUGGCGCCAAAGGAGCUGAGAGGUCUACAUCUUGUUCUGAAGGCAAACAGCAGAAGACUGGCUUCCAGGCAGCUAGGAAAGGGUCUUAAAGCCCACCCUCACAGUGACACACUUCCUG